rnacentral:tRNA from 1 species
GGGGGUAUAGCUCAGUGGUUGAGUGUGGGCUUAGCAGGCUUGAGGUCCUGGGUUCAAUCCCCAGUCCCUCCA